AUUGCUAUGCAUUUUUUGUUAAUAUCGGAAAUUAAAAUCAUAAUUCUCGAUCACUUCUUGUUUGCUUUCAAUGGAGAACAGUAGUCUUCUUUUGAACGGACAUUCCAUCAUGGUCAAAUGGUGCUGUAUCCCGUAUGGAUUCUUUUGCCAGUCAAAGCUAAGUCCUGGUUAAUGGCAGAAUUUUUAAAAGUGAUCAGAUAGAAACAUCUAAGGACUUCUUUUCAAUUAUGUUGAUUAUUAAGAAAAGCAGCCCCGUUUUACACCUCGUGUCUCAUCAUCUAAAUUGGCGGGAAUGCUUAAUAUUAAGUGGUUGAGAAAAUGGCGGUGUUGAUGAAUUCAUUUAAUUGGAAGAGAUUAUUUAAAUAAAAUGACGAAUAUCACAUGGAAAAAUAUGGUUUUAAAUAACCGAGCGUGUUUUAGAUGCUUGUCAUAAACAUCACGUGAAAAAACAAUGGUUUUGUCGAUGCCUAUCUGAGUACUUAUUUUAAGACCAAUUUGGAGUUCCGUGGACUUAUUUCGUUAAUAUCACAGUAGCAUUUACAUUCGUCACAUGCCGUAUAGUCGAAAAUGUUACCUAAGAAGAAUUUUCCGGGGUGAUCGACAUUUCACAACACUCCUUCCGGAUUUCGUUAGUCUACGUUUUAUAAAAGAAGACUUACAUGUCAAGAUGAAUUGCAUGCAUGUUUGUGAAUUGUGAAUCUCCAGUUUGAAAAAUAUCCAGAAGAGAAUCGUCACUUCUAUUUUUAUAUUUAAUGUUGUUUAAUGGAAUAAAAACCAGUGUAUAACAUUGCCUUGUAUUAUUAAAAAAUUGGGA